AAAAAAAAUCACAACAGAGGAAGAACCCAGAAUCUAUUCUAAAGCGCUUCCACCAGAGAGGAUCCCCCACAUUAUGACGGAACUGAAUACAUUUGCAGUAGGCAGGGCUCAGUAGCUCUAUGAACAGCUGGCCGUCAAACAUAAAAUAGGACACAUUCGAUCGCCGGCUCUUUCCUAGUCGGAUUUUGGAGGAAACAAAAAAAAGCAGGAGUUGAAGAAGCAGCGGCUGCAGACAAAAUGAAUGGUGCUGAGAAACGUGUUGAUUUGGCAACGAUAAUAGGAAACAAUGCCAGCGGAGUAAUUCCAGUUUGUGACUAUGUGAAUAGAUCCCCAAAAAGAAAUGAAAUGUCUCAUUGGCUGAUAAUGGAUUGUGUAGGAGAUAUCAUAUCCUAUCUGUUUGAUCUGAAGAUUCUUCACGGCAAAUACACGGCAUAAAUAUGGCCAUUACUGGGGAGGAUUUAAUUACAAAUCACUCAUCAAGGAUCACAACUUAAGCGAAAUUUGUUCAAUUUCAUCAAUACGAUCAUCGCCAGCUAGUCCAUUUGCAAUGCAUACAGGAUGUUUUUGGUGUAAAUAUAUACACAAGUUCCAAGCAUUUUCUUAUAGACAAAGUAUCGUAAAGUACUCCAGAAAGAGAGAAACAGACAAAAAGAAAUAAUUCAAUCAGCGCAGGUUAGGCUCAGGUUUUUUUUAACGAUUUAGAAUUAAGAAAAAUUGCAUUUCUCACAAUUCAAUACGAGAGGAUGAAGAUAGUUUAGACCUGAUUGUGAUUAUGGACGCUAUUCCGGCUGCGAGGAAUAUUUUAUUUAGAAUCAUAUGAAGUAAAUUUAUAAUUUAAUGCAAUCACGUAAUACAAUGAUAUGUAAUUUAUGAUGUAUAUUUAUAUAUUACAUAAAACUAAUGAUG